CUAAUGGGUGUGUGAACAUCGUUCCACUACAUUACAGAAUCCUUUAAAAAAGGAACUCUUCAUCUCCUUCCAAAAGUCGAGUCUUUCGACAUUAUGUCUCUAGCAGGUAUUGAUACCUAUGCGUCUGUGCCUCAUUCGGUUUGUGGGGCAAUGGCUUCUAAGGCUUCCUCGAUUGGUUGUCGCUUGGAGGAUAUUAUGAGAGCGGCUGGUCUUCGGAGUCUGCAUUCCAUGAUUUCUACUUUAGACCUAUUCAGCACUUCACAGGAGACAUGAUUUAACAGCUUUGAACUAGCAUAAUAGGAGCCUCUGUGUCUUAAGAAAAUU